AAUCCCCGAUUCUCGUACGAUCACCAAAGUUAAGCAACGUCGAACCUAGUCAGUACCUAGAUGGGUGACAGCUUGGGAAUACCAUGUGCUGUAAG